UCUCCUUUACUGCUAAAAUAGCCCAAAAAACCCCAAAAUUGAACGAAAUCCUCUUUUCCUCAUGGUCACUUCUCAGAUCUCAAUCCACCACCACCUCACGAUCACUUCUCAGACGUCAAUCGAUUCACCACCACCACAUCGUCAAUCGAUCCGCCACCACCACAACGCUACUUGCUCACCAGCGUCGCUAAAUCGAAGCAGAUUGUGUUGGAUAUCAAUGGUUCCAGACGGUGAACUUAGCUGCGAUAUGUACACCUGCGGAUUACAAUACGCGUCCUCUUGACACAAUUUACAGCAAUUUCAUCGAUGCGCUCCCUGUGUUCUACUAUGGUGUAUUUUUCGCAUACAUGCGGCUGAGGGAAUAGGAGAUCAGGAACUUGAUUCGGAUGAGUGUGUGGCACAUCCAGAAAGCCAGGGUUCAUGACAAUGUCGUAUUCAUAUGUAGCUGGGAACAUGUGCAAUAUAUGUAGAUAAUUAUAUUAGUAUGUAAUGUCGUAUUCAUAACUAAUUAUCGGUAUCUAUUUGGACAUAGUUAUGUAAUGAAUUGGUGACACAUGGUUUUGAUAUAUAUUAAAUGCGUUAAUUUUGUACAA